UGAAGCCAUGAGCUCCUCCGUCUGAGCGCCAAGCUCCCCCUCCCCCCCUUCUGAGCUUGGGACAAGCCACUAGUUCCCCCUUCUGAACUAGAAAACAUGUCUCUUUCAAUAACACGACACAAUGAUGCAUGUCAAAUAUAAAUCAAUACAACAACAAAAAUAAUGCUUAUGGUCCCCCUUCUGAUCAUAACCAACAUUUAUUGACACACAAUAAUAAUUCCCCCCUUCUGAACUACUAUCCACCAAUUAUAACAACAAUGCAUACAAGCAUACAAAUAGUCACCCCUUCUGACCAUAACCAACAUGCUAAAUCACUGAUUUACGUACUUUAUUCUUCGAUUUCAUGAAAUCCACAUUUAGGUUUCAAGCCUUCAAAACAUCAACGAUGACAUACAUCACAUAAACAUAAAACAUAAUUUCACAGACACAAAUUUAGUCACGAAAAUCAGAUAACAACACAUUCAAUCAUCAAUUUUCAGAUUAUCAUACCACAACAACAAUUCAUAAUAGAUUUCAUACAAUCCAUAAAGAGAGUAAGGGUCCCUCUUCUACCUUUUCAUGCAAAACACCCAUAUAGAAGCACUCCCACCUUACCUCAGAUUCCUAGCAGCAAAAUUUAGAAUUUGAUCAACGUUGGUGGUUUGAGUUCUUCCCUCUUCAAGUCCUAACCUCCUUUUUUCUCCAAAAGCUCUCACAUUACAUAUUCUCCCUUAAAAACUCUAUUAACCUUUUUUUAUCUCUAAAACCUAAUUUAAUCUUUUAUUAAUUAUAUUUUGGCCCAAUUUUUUUUUGUAAUUCUCAUUGCUUCCCUUAUUUCUCUUAAUUCAUAUUUUCCAUCCAAAACCUCUCUUUCUAUUUUAUUUUAAUUAAUUAAAAACAAUUAUUAAUCAUAAUUAUUUCUAAUUAUUUAAAUCAUUUUAUCCUCCCACCAAUACUCUCACUACCAUAUGCCGCAUACACAUGUCACUAAUAAUAUAUAUAAUUAAAAGAGAACUACAUACUAAAUAAUUAAAUAAAAACACGAAUAAUUUGAUUAAAUAUAUUAAUCAAAUUCAGGGUGUUACAAUACCUCAAUUCGGGAAGUCUUGCGUUGUCGACCCUUUUCCUAAGACGAUCCCGAGUUGUCUCCCUAGGCAGGUUACUUACGAAUAUAACACAAUAUAUAUUAGUCAUAUUAAUAUGAUUUAAUCUAAAAUAUGUAAAAAUAAUUAUAU
rnacentral:lncRNA from 1 species